ensembl:snRNA U7 U7 small nuclear RNA
AAGCAUUUGCUCUUUAAAUAUUUCUCCAGUAGGUUUACUGAAGGAGAAAGCCUCC